GUGGCCUAAUGGUUUGAGCGUCCGCCUCAGAUGCGGGAGGUCCUGUGUUCGAUCCCCGCUCGAGUCA